rnacentral:rRNA from 1 species
GACGAACGCUGGCGGCGUGCUUAACACAUGCAAGUCGUACGGUAAGGCCCUUUCGGGGGUACACGAGUGGCGAACGGGUGCGUAACACGUGAGUAACCUGCCCACAACUUUGGGAUAACGCUAGGAAACUGGUGCUAAUACUGGAUAUGUGCCCCUGCUGCAUGGUGGGGGUUGGAAAGCUCCGGCGGUUGUGGAUGGACUCGCGGCCUAUCAGCUUGUUGGUGGGGUAGUGGCCUACCAAGGCGGCGACGGGUAGCCGGCCUGGGAGGGUGACCGGCCACAGUGGGGCGGAGAUACGGCCCAGACGCCGACGGGAGGCAGCAGGGGGGAAGAGUGCACAAGGGGCGCAAGCCGGAUGCAGCAACGCCGCGUGCGGGAGGACGGGCUUCGGGUUGUAAACCGCUUUCAGCAGGGACGAAGCUUUUUGUGACGGUACCUGCAGAAGAAGCACCGGCUAACUACGUG